rnacentral:lncRNA from 1 species
AGAUUAAACUUCAGAUUAAAUUUAUUCUGUUUUUAAAUUUGGAAUGCUUCAAAGAAGAACAAAGGUGAUACAUGAAAGAGUUCAGGCAAUUUCCAUAGAAACAAAACCCAAAUCCUAAAUGGAAUUAGACAUGGCAUUAAGUGACUUGGAGGCUGCAGAUUUUGCAGAACUGUCCGAGGAUUACUAUGACAUGAGGCGGCUGUAUACAAUUUUGGGGUCUUCUCUAUUUUACAAGGGUUAUUUGAUAUGCAGUCAUUUGCCCAAGGAUGAUCUUAUUGAUAUUGCCGUAUACUGUCGCCACUAUUGCCUGCUGCCUUUAGCAGCAAAACAAAGAAUUGGUCAGUUGAUCAUAUGGAGAGAAGUGUUUCCUCAGCAUCACCUCCGACCUUUGGCAGACUCAAGCACUGAAGUCUUUCCGGAACCUGAAGGAAGAUAUUUUUUGCUAGUUGUUGGCUUGAAACAUUAUAUGCUAUGUGUACUAUUAGAAGCUGGAGGUUGCGCAUCCAAAGCUAUU